AACCCUUAGAAAAAGAAAAAAAAAAAGCCACUCAGAUUCUAAUGACAGGACAGUAUUUUGUUUUACAUAAAUAUAAGCUGGAUGCCAGUGGUUGGGCACUGGAACAGGCUCCCCAGGGAAGUGGUCACAGCAGCAAGCCUGCUGGAGUUCAAGAGACAUUUUGAUAAUGCUCUCAGACACAUGGUUUCAUUUUUGGGUGGUUCUCUGUGGAGUCAGAAGUUGGACUUCAUGAUGGAGGUUGGAACUAAAUGAUCUUUAAAGUCCCUUUCCCCCCCCCCCAACCAAACCAUUCUUUUAUUUUAAGAUCCUUCUUCGAUCCCUUCCAACUCAGGAUAUUCUAUGAUUCUAGGAUAAUAUAACAAUAAAAGCAAAAAGUUGCAUUAUAGAAAUAAAUGUUAUUCAAUAAAGCAUUCUCAAUUUAAUUGACACCAGACCUACCAAAUCACCGAGCGUUCAUCCCUUUCCUCCUCUCCCCUUGUAUUGCAGCCUGUGAAACAAGCUAGUGCUUAAGUGACAGCUGCUUUAUAACCAGAUGAUAUACAUGUAUUCCAGGAGACUUUGGUAUAUCGAAUCCUGUUUCAAGAAACAAAUUCCCAGUGAACCCGUGCCUGUGACAUCUAGUUUUAGAACUUGGCUUGUGUGUGUGUAUUCACUAUUACUUCAAGAGCUUUUAGAACAUUCUAACAUUUGAUUUUGAUCACAGGUACUUUUGCCUGGAAGAAAGCCUGUACUGAAAUAGGAGGACCCUUGAAGGAUGUUAACUAACAGAAAUGAAUGCUUUAAUAAGGAAGGAGGGUUUCAUUCUUCAAGAUCCCUAUUCAGAGUGGCAAGUCCAAGAACGUUAGAUUAUGUCACAAAGAAAGUUUUGGAAGAUACAAACUUGUCAGUACUUUCCUUUUUUCCAAUGUAAAAUAACUGCCCAGGAGCACCAGGAAUUUAAACACAACAAGUAUAUACUCCCCAAUGCAGCAAAUGGUCCUUAUUCAUACCCCUCCAGCUCUGUAGUAAUGAUGUCACUGAAUCAAUGUUCAAGAUUUGUUCUGAACAUGUCUUUGUCGGGGUAAUUAGCCUCCUUAUCAUCCACUCUUUGUAUUUUAAAUGGUUGUACUAAAUGGCUUUUGGGUAAUGUGGUUUCUGAUGCACCAUCAAGCGAAGAAUAAAGAUACAUUGCCUCAGUGAGAGUGUUUGACA
rnacentral:lncRNA from 1 species